UGGGGAGUCGCCAAGUGGUAAGGCAACGGGUUUUGAUCCCGUCAUUCGUAGGUUCGAUCCCUACAUCCUCAGCCA
rnacentral:tRNA from 1 species